UAUUGGGCAAUGGGCGAAAGCCUGACCGAGCAACGCCGCGUGAAUGAAGAAGGCCUUCGGGUNGUAAAAUUCUGUUAUAAGGGAANNCANNNGNUAGGAGGAAAUGACUAUCAAUUGACGGUACCUUAUGNNNANANCACGGCUAACUACGUGCCAGCAGCCGCGGUAAUACGUAGGGGGCAAGCGUUAUCCGGAAUUAUUGGGCGUAAAGAGCGCGCAGGUGGUUAAUUAAGUCUGAUGUGAAAGCCCACGGCUUAACCGUGGAGGGUCAUUGGAAACUGGUUGACUUGAGUGCAGAAGAGGGAAGUGGAAUUCCAUGUGUAGCGGUGAAAUGCGUAGAGAUAUGGAGGAAAACCAGUGGCGAAGGCGGCUUCCUGGUCUGCAACUGACACUGAGGCGCGAAAGCGUGGGGAGCAAAC
rnacentral:rRNA from 1 species